GACGAACGCUGGCGGCGUGCUUAACACAUGCCAGUCGGACGGAAAGGCCCUGCUUUUGUGGGGUGCUCGAGUGGCGAACGGGUGAGUAACACGUGAGUAACCUGCCCUUGACUUUGGGAUAACUUCAGGAAACCGGGGCUAAUACCGGAUAGGAGCUCCUGCUGCAUGGUGGGGGUUGGAAAGUUUCGGCGGUUGGGGAUGGACUCGCGGCUUAUCAGCUUGUUGGUGGGGUAGUGGCUUACCAAGGCUUUGACGGGUAGCCGGCCUGAGAGGGUGACCGGCCACAUUGGGACUGAGAUACGGCCCAGACUCCUACGGGAGGCAGCAGUGGGGAAUAUUGCACAAUGGGCGGAAGCCUGAUGCAGCAACGCCGCGUGCGGGAUGACGGCCUUCGGGUUGUAAACCGCUUUCGCCUGUGACGAAGCGUGAGUGACGGUAAUGGGUAAAGAAGCACCGGCUAACUACGUG
rnacentral:rRNA from 1 species